GUGAAUCAUCAAAUCUUUGAACGCAAAUUGCGCCUUUUGCGGAAGGCAUGUCUGUUUGAGGGCACCAUUUAACAAAUAAUUUGCAUUUCUUGUGCACACGUUGAUGAGCUUUCCAAAAUUAUGUAUUAUUAUUGUUUGUGUCGCAUAAUAAACAGCUCGAUGCUUUGUUUGAUUUCGAGUGUAGUAAAUUUUUUUCUUGCUUGGGUUGUGAAAAGCGUUAUUGCGCAAUGGGUGUGGCAUGUUCUU
rnacentral:misc_RNA from 1 species